rfam:Oryza meridionalis cultivar OR44 (W2112) chromosome 6, whole genome shotgun sequence.
AAAAAGACAAACCCUGAGUUUCCGUAUCUAACGUUUGACUAUCUGUUUUAUAUAAAUUUUUUUAUUAAUUAGUAUUUUUAUUGUUGUUAGAUGAUAAAACAUGAUUAAUACUUUAUGCGUGACUUAUUUUUUUAAUUUUUCUCAUAAAUUUUUCAAAUAAGACGGACGGUCAAACGUUGGACACGAAAACCCAGGGUUUGUCUUUUU